AUUGAACGCUGGCGGAAUGCUUUACACAUGCAAGUCGAACGGCAGCACGGGGGCAACCCUGGUGGCGAGUGGCGAACGGGUGAGUAAUACAUCGGAACGUGCCCAGUCGUGGGGGAUAACUACGCGAAAGCGUAGCUAAUACCGCAUACGAUCUAUGGAUGAAAGCGGGGGAUCGCAAGACCUCGCGCGAUUAGAGCGGCCGAUGGCAGAUUAGGUGGUUGGUGGGGUAAAGGGUCACCAAGCCGACGAUCUGUAGCUGGUCUGAGAGGACGACCAGCCACACUGGGACUGAGACACGGCCCAGACUCCUACGGGAGGCAGCAGUGGGGAAUUUUGGACAAUGGGCGCAAGCCUGAUCCAGCCAUUCCGCGUGCAGGAUGAAGGCCCUCGGGUUGUAAACUGCUUUUGUACGGAACGAAACGCGCCGGGUUAAUACCCUGGCGUAAUGACGGUACCGUAAGAAUAAGCACCGGCUAACUACGUGCCAGCCGCCGCCGUAA
rnacentral:rRNA from 1 species